GUUUGGAGAGCUGCUUCGUAGCUGUGGAGAGUCCUUGAAAAAGCAAAUGGAAUGGUUGUCGAGAAGAACAUUGGUGAAAAAAUCUGAAUCCUUUUUAUCCUUGGGAAAACGACCGCUGAGUAUAAUUCUGAGAAUUUGGAGAAAGAGCUACAACAAGGAAAUGGGAGAGCUCACCCUGUUUGAGAGAGCGUGUGGGGGUAGAGGGCCACCCUGGUGAAGCUCUCGUUCUGCAGACUCUUGGGGACCAGUGAGGAGGAGAUGAACUGGCUGCUGUCGUCGUUGUCCUGGUCCUGGCUCAGUGAAUCCCCGCUACAGCCCGACGAGGACUCUCCAUUGGGGAGGACAGGCAGCUUGGAGUGCUCGUGCAGUGAGG